GACGAACGCUGGCGGCGUGCUUAACACAUGCAAGUCGAGCGGUAAGGCCCUUUCGGGGGUACGACGAGCGGCGAACGGGUGAGUAACACGUGGGUGACCUGCCCUCAGCUCUGGGAGUAAGCCCGGGAAACUGGGUCUAAUACUGGAUAUGACUCCACGGUGCAUGUCGUGGGGUGGAAAGCCUUGUGCGGCUGAGGAUGGGCCCGCGGCCUAUCAGCUUGUU
rnacentral:rRNA from 1 species